GCGCGCGCCCCUCCGGGCCGCUUUGUUUUGGCUUCUGUGUGAGGAGAUGUUGGAGACUUCCGGGAGGCCCGCGCGUCUCAGGCCCUGGUGCUGGUGGCAGGACGCGGCCGGUGAGUCCCCUAUACUUUCACAGUUCUCUUCACUCUUCCAAGACUGGAAGAAAAUGAUCACAGCCCAGGU
rnacentral:lncRNA from 1 species